rnacentral:lncRNA from 1 species
AGUUCAUUCUUUCAGGGCCACAGAAGCGUAGAAAACUCUUUAGUCAUAAGUUGGUGGGGGUGCCAAGAGGAAAGGCACAGCAGAGAAUGCUAAGAGCCUAAGGAUGUGACUGGAGAAUCUCCUGAAGUUAUAGAUCCUGCAGGCAGGGCUGGCUUCAGGGAAGUGCAACCUGUGCAGUCGCACUGGUCCACAUGCUUGGAAGAGGCCCCUUAUUUUCACUUUGCACUGAGUCCUCAAGUUACAUGACUGGUCAGUCCUACCCCAUAAGGCAUGGAUUGCAAAGGAGAACAAAGAAUCCACGGAGGUGAUCGACUUUGAGGUGAAGCUGGGAGAGGAAGAUGAUGGUGCCAUCAACAGAAAAAGGCUUUGAUGACUCAGGCUGCCAUACUGAAGAUGCCCACAUGGCCAGGAGCUGGGACCUUUAUUCUAACAACCCUCAAGCAGCUGAAUCCUGCCAAUAAUCAUGUGAGCUUGGAUGUGGGUCCUUCCCUACUUGAACCUUCAGAUGAGACCCCAGCCCCAGCUGAUACUUUGACUGCAGCUUUGUGAGAGACCCUGAGACAGAGGACCGAGAUGAGCCAUGCCUUGGCUGCUGGCCCACAAAAACUGUGAGAUCAAAAUGAUGUGUUGUUUUAAGCCAUUAACUGUGUGGUAACUUGUCAAACAGUGUAUUAGGCCAUUUGUGUUGCUACAAAGGAAUACCCGAGGCUGAGUAGUUUAUUAAGAAAAGAGGUUUAAUUGGCUUAUGGUUCUGCAGGCAAUAUGAGAAGCAUGGUGCCAAUAUCUGCUUGGCUUCUGGUGUGGCCUCAAGAAGCUUACAAUCACAGCGGAAGGUGACAGGGAGCCAGCAUGUUACAUGGCAAGAACAGGAACAAGAGAGAGGAGAGGGAGCCAGGUUCUUUUAAACAGCCAGCUCUCCAGUGAAUCAGCAGAGCAAGAACUCACGCAUUGCCAUAGGGAGGGCACCAAGGCAUUCAUGAGGGACCCACUCCCAUGACCUAAAUACCCCCACAAGGCCCAGCUUCCAACAUGGGGAUUACAUUUUAAGAUGAAACUUGGAGGGGACAAAACAUCCAAGCCAUAUUCCAUAGCAACAGGUAACCAAUACACCACAUGUACCAAAGCCUUGGUCCAAGGCCCUGUCUUCAUAGAGCCCAGGCUGUCCUGCGGUCUGCACUGAGCUCACCCUCCAGGAGGCAUACUAGAGAUCUUUGCACCUCCUUCUCCUCUUACCCACAGGACAGAUAUCUUGGCCAGUCUUUCUGAAUGCCCAGCUGUCCGAGGAUGCCUUUCUUUGCUUUUCCCCUCUGUAUGGGGGCUGGAGGCAGGUGAACCCCUUGAUGAACAGGGUCUCUCUCCUGGGUUUUGCCCAGUUGCAGUUCACACCCCCUUCCCCAUGCUUUGUGCCUGUCUCCCAGUUGCUGGGUGGUCAGGGGAGACUCUGCAGAAGGGGCAGGUGCCUGUGCCUCUGGAUGGUUCCACUGAAGAACUGAUGUAAGGGAUGACGUGUGGGGACUGUAGGGCUUCCAGGAUCAGGAAGCGGGUGAUGGAAGCACCUAGGCAAUAUGGCCCCAAGCUCCUGAAGACCACCUUCUCCCGUCUCCCUCCUCUCAGCCCCAAAACAACAGACAAGCAAACCUACCCUGAAACAGUGUCGUCACUGCACGAGGCACUGUGCCCAUGCAAUAUCCCAUCCGGUGCCAGCCUUGGAGGGAGGUGUCUUCAUGCCCCUUUAACAGAUGGGAAAGGCAGCAUGGUAAGUGACUGCUGGGAAGUCACAGGGCAGCAUUCGGCCCAGGUCUGUCACACUCCAAAGUCUGCGAGCUCUUCAGAUUCCACUUGGAAGGCUCCUCCCCUUGGCCUAAUGUCUCAGGCACACAGCAGCCAACUCAAGACGAGGGUCCCUAUUUGGGGAGUCUGGAUCCGUGUUUCGCAGUGUGGUCAGUCCAUGGGCCAAUCGCAUCAGCAUCAGUGUCUCCUGGGGUCUUGCCAGCAACCACAGAUCCCCAGGCUCACCCCAGACCUGCUGUCUCAGCCAGCUAGGGCUGCUGUAACUACAGACCACAGACUGGGGCUUAAACAACAGGCAUUGAUUUUCUCAUUGUUCUGGAGGCUGAAAGCCUGAGAUCAGGGAGCCAGCAUGGUCGGGGGUUGGGGAUGCUCUCUUCCAAGGUUGUAGAGGGCUGCCUUCUCAAUAUGUCCUCACAUGGUGGGGUGGGGUGGGAUGGGGAGGGAGAGAGAGAGAG